rnacentral:lncRNA from 1 species
CCUGAGCCUAAGCAACUCUAUUUUAGAAACUCUAGUUUGAAACUUGGAGUAUCACCAGGCAUGCCUAACGGAGCCCCCCCAGUAUGGCCCUCAAGCACAAACAAGUCACUUCUUCCCACCCUGACAAACUCGGAGUGAAGUCUCUGUUGUGCUGUCCUCCCCUGAGAAAAUUAGGGUGGAGACCACCAGACUGGAUGUUUUAACCCCAGGGUAAACGAUGUCACUGAGAGACCUGGAACUGAUAAGGAUUAAAGGGGGGGGGGUCAAAAGCCCCAAAAUUUCAUAUAAAUAUUGGAGCAAAUGAAUAGACAUUAAGCCAGCUGACACUGAUGCACACAAGCCUGAGAGCCUGAUGAGGACCUGGACUGACAUCCCAACACUUGUCAUCAUUUGCCUGAUCCUCUGCAUUUUCCUCACCGCUCUCAAACUCUGCAGCCUCAUCUUGACCCUGGUGAAAGCCAAAAUUCUCCCUAUGACCCUCUCCUCAACCGGCUGUCAGCUCCACCCCAAGAGAAGCCUGCCGUGGUUCUGAUCUGAUCACCAUGGUCUGAGUGAGUGUGCAUCUGCUGGACGUAAAGCCUAAGGCUUGAGACUUUUGAUCUGAUACUUGAACUUAGCAUGCAGAGGGAACGUCUGUCAUGAGCCAGUCAUGAUUAAGGGUAUUUGUAGUGCUUAGAAUCAAUCUAGAAUUGUUUGCUGUGAAUUGAUUAUGUCUACCGCAGUGCCUAGCAUUAAGGAUUGUCAUUUUCUUGAUUAAGAA